GAUGAACGCUAGCGGCGUGGAUAAGGCAUGCAAGUCGAACGGUUCGCUUCGGCGGACAGUGGCAAACGGGUUAGUAACACGUAGAUACACACCCUCUACACAGGCAUAACCCAUUGAAAGAUGGGCUAAUUCCUGAUAGUCCUUACCUUCGGGUAGGGUAAAUGGUUUCGAGCAAUCGAUUCCGGUGGAGGACUGAUCUGCGGCUUAUCAGCUUGUUGGUGAGGUAAUGGCUCACCAAGGCUAUGACGGGUAGGGGAUAUGAGAGUGUGUUCCCCAACAAGGGCACUGCGACACGGGCCCUACUCCUACGGGAGGCAGCAGUCGAGAAUAUUCGACAAUGGGCGAAAGCCUGAUCGAGUGACGCCGCGUGCUUGAAGAAGCCCUUCGGGGUGUAAAGAGCUUUUCUGGAGGAAGAAUCUCGCUUCGGCGGGAUGACGGUACUCCAGGAAUAAGGAGAUGCUAAUCACGUGCCAGCAGCAGCGGUAAUACGUGAUCUCCAAGCGUUAUCCGGAUUUAUUGGGCGUAAAGCGUCCGUAGGCGCACCGCCAGGUUUUCUGUUAAACCCUAGGGCUUAACCUUAGAACUGCAGAAAAAACCGGCGGAGUAGAGGGCAUUAGAGGCUGAUGGAACGGUCGGUGUAGGGGUGAAAUCCGUUGAUAUCGACCGGAACACCAAAUGCGAAGGCAUUCAGCUGGGAUGGCCCUGACGCUGAGGGACGAAAGCGUGGGUAGCGAAAAAGAUUAGAUACCUUUGUAGUCCACGCCGUAAACGAUGGACACUAGCUAUUUGAAGUGUCGACCCUUCAAGUGGCGAAGCUAACGCGUUAAGUGUCCCGCCUGGGAAGUACGACGGCAACGUUAAAACUCAAAGGAAUUGACGGGAAUCAC
rnacentral:rRNA from 1 species